UAAAAGCGCAAAUAUAAAAAGUAAGUCGAACCUCCUCCCCAAAAUCCCCAUCAUUUAAAAAAGUAAACUAAAAAGUUGGAAACUCAAACUCGCAAACAUAAGCACACUUCAUUAAAUUAAACACCUUAAUUUGUCUCACUCUCUCUCUCUCUCUCUCUAUAUGCAAUUGCAAUUGCAAUUUGCAACCCCAUCUUCUCACUAUAAAAAUCAAUACACAAUCCCCCGCCGACACUCACCAUUUCUGCGAGCUCAAAGCCAAUGCCUCUGCGCCCCUCUCCAUCAUCAUGAAUCACAACAGAUCCCUCCUCAUCUCCUCCAAAUUCCUCCACAUAAUCUGCUCGGAGAUUUAGCGCUUUCGUCAUCCGUCUUGAAUGUACCACUCGAUGAAGCGCACUCUGCGGCCGCUCUACACCGUCAUGCUGCUCCUCGUCCUCGCCGGAACCCUAACCCUCAGAGUCGUGCUUCAUCAGAAUGGAUCCUUCUACCUCAGAUACGAAAUCA
rnacentral:lncRNA from 1 species